rnacentral:lncRNA from 1 species
UACUAAAUGUUUCAUUUGGCAUUGAUUUUUUUCCUACCAAUCCUUCUAGAAUGGCUUAGUUUCUCCAGAACUCAGAAAUGUUCUAUCAUAUACAGUGUUACAGAGAACUAGGAGAUGGAGACAUUCAUGAAUAACUUCAGCUAUCAAGAGGAACGGGUGGUCUGUUUCAUGUUCCUAGACACAAUAUUCCUGCUCAGAUCUGAUGGGCGACAUAAGUAUCAGUAUGUCUGCAAUAGCAAGUCUACAGGAUCCGGCUUGUGGACCAGCAUAUACGAAAUGGAGAUGCCUGAUGGAAGGACCUCUUCCUAAGGGCCAGCCACCAAGAAUUAUGGAAGUAAUGAAGCAGUGACACAUCUCACGUUCCUUGCUGAUUGCUUGACAACAUAAUUGUAUCUUCCUUGCUGAUAUUUUAAUCAUAGUGCUGGAAAACACCCAUUUCAGCCAAAAAGAAUCAUGAAAUCUGUGUCCAUAUGUGUCUAUGUCUUUUACCUCAGAAAAUAAA